rnacentral:tRNA from 1 species
GGUCGGGUGGCAGAGCGGUUGAAUGCACCGGUCUUGAAAACCGGCGUACACGAAAGUGUAUCGGGGGUUCGAAUCCCUCCCCGACCGCCU